rnacentral:lncRNA from 1 species
AAAUUUAUAAUUAAAAUUAAAAAUAAAUUAUUGUGGAUAAAGGAACAAGUUUCUGAGACUUUUCUGGCACAUCAAAAGUCAUUCUACACAAUGAACUAAUUGAUUUGAUAAAUAUGGCCAAGAGCAAAAUCGUGACUUUGAUUUGGCUGUCUCUUUGAAGGGUUGUAUAUGGGGGGUCAAGUUUUAUGCUGGCCACCCGUCACAACAUGUUAAAGGCACUACCAACCUAGCAGUAACUUGGCUACCUGAUAACCGUCACUGAUGCAUACAAAUACAAUCCAGACAGCCCUUUUCAACACAAUAACCGCUCCUUUACCUCACUCAUCAAUCUCGGAGCACCUUCAAUUCCAAAAACCCUUCAACAGAUUAGACAGCCAAAUCAAAGUCACGAUUUUGCUGAGUCCCAACAUAACUCAGUAAAGACCAAGCAACUUUAUCUAUCAAUCGACCCUACCUCCAUGGAAGUAUUCUCAAGCAUUCCUGUACCCAUAUUUUCUUUGUUUCCCUCCUUACCGUCUUCGUUCUUAUUCAAUUAUUAUCUUCAUCAGGCUUUGACAUUGAGGCCCAAUGCAUUGAGCGGGAAUUGUAGCCAUAACAAUAGAGCAAAUGAGUUUAGCAGAUGAGGUCCCAUCAUCAGCCUUUGUAUUCCAUUAUAUAGUAGACCCCCCAGGGGGUGGCUGCAAGCUAGGAAGAAACUAGAAGCCAAGAGAGAGUGAUUAAAAGAAAAAAAGAGAGGAGAGAAGAAAAGGCAGGAGAGGAAGAGAUAAAGCCUAAAAGAGAGAGAGGAAAAUAGCAAGGAAGCAGCCACUACCAAAACAAAAAAGACAAGGAAGGAAGACGUUCAAGAAAGGAGAAAGGAGAAGGUAUGGAAUAUGUACUUUCUUACUUACCUUGUUUUACACGUGAUGGUCUUACUUUGCCGGUCAACAUGAUGUACUCACAAUUAGGGAUUCUGGGGUCUUAUAUAUUUUGGAUCUGGUAGUGCUGAUAUGGCCCUCGCUUGUUAUUUUGAUUUGGCAUGCAUGGUCAUAGUUUCUUUUCGGCAUGGAUGUAUAAAAGGAUGUGCCUUCUUCCUGCAAACCUACUUAGCUUAUUCGCCUUUGGUAUGAAAAUGUUUCUUGGUUUUUUUUUUAGGUUACGUUGCCUUCUACUUCCCUUUUCUUUUUGUUUUUAUGGAAGAAUCCUUUCUUUCAAACAUGGAAAAUGGGUAUUAUGUAUGGUGGCACGUGCUGUAACAUAUAUAGUCACAUUCUCUUGGAUUAUAGGGAUAACAGAAAUAAAUUUCUUCUGCCCCACAUUGUUAAAGUAUGGUGGCACGUUCUGUAACAAAUAUCCUUAAGUAUUGGAAAAUUAUAAUAACUUUUAUUUUGA